ACUCUGAGCACAGACAGAGAAAGGAGGCUGCAGAUCACUUAGGCUCUGAUCAGUGAAACAGGGCGGCUGAUCAGGGGAUGCAGCCUUUAGAGCAACGUUAGCUCUGGCAGACCCAGAAGCAGAACACUGUUUUUCAAAGUGAAGACUUUACUCCCAUCGUAACAGAUCAAAGCAUCAUUCGGAUGAGCAGAUCCCCAUCCUCUCUCAGCCUGGUCUGCUCUCGCCUUGAGGAAGGGCUGGUUGUGCACCCAGUUCUGUGCUAAUGGAAAGUUUAAACUCUGUGCAUCUUAACUUCAUACGGCAUGCUUCUCCUCCGCACAGCGGGAGCUCCGGCAGCUGGGGAUGCAGGAUGCGGGGCUGGCGGCAGUUCUUUCACUCUAGGAUACGCAAACCAAUCGUUGGGAAUUGGAAUGCAUUCCGCUUUGUCAUCCUGCUGCUGGCUUCACUGUAUGGAGCGGCUUUGCGCUAUUUCUGCUGCUGCUUCCUGUCCUUGACCCAACGAUACAUUGUGAACUUCUCCCGAGUGGAUGGUGAAUUCAAACUUGUUCCUUAAACAGAACAAUAUAGUGUACUACUUCCAGCCAGAUAAUGAAGUGUUCCAACAAGCAUGUGUUCUGCACACCGUGUGUAAAUGGAAUCCUGGUAAAAUGCAGCAAAGGAUUUAAGGUUAUCAUCUGUCUCUCCCUAACUUCUGACAUCUCUUUAUAACAAGAAAGAGUCACAGCCAACUGUAACAGGAGGGCAACACAAUGAAUCCCGGUGCCGAAGAAGCUGUGGAUCCCUCAGUUACGCUCAGUUAUGCCUAGUUUAUUACUGAUGAAAGUAAUGGGGUGGAGUAGCAGACAUCGGUGAAGAAAAAGCAGCUACAAUGUGAUGUUUGCAAAGCAAGGCUUUGAGCUCCUCUGCUCUGUGCCCAUUUGUCACUCCUUUCAAAAGGAAGAUGGAAACUCUUGGUAUGGAUGCAAAACUCAGAAGAGGUCUGUGUAGAAUAAGAGCAAGAACACAGCUGCACAAGACUCAGCACACUUCUCACAGACAAAAUGCAAUGAAGGAAAAGAAGGCACUUUAAGCUAAAUCAGAGAUCAUUAUAGAAUACUUUUCCCAUUCAGCUUGCUCUAGAAGGAAUAUGUACAUGCAGCAGCAGCACUUGGGGUAUGAAGAGCUACUCUGAAAGCAGAAACAGUUGCCAGUGUUUGAGGUGUGGAUGGCGAGUGAGAAAAUCAGCUGUUCCUGCAGAGGUGCCCCCAGCAACAACAGCUUCUGAGAAAUCCUGCUUUUGUGUCCUUAAUGAGAACACAGCCUGGAAUGACUGAGAGCAAGCUCAGUUUGCAGGAAGCGUUUUGGACCAACAUCCAUUGCCUGAGGAGCUUUCCAGAGGCCAAGCAGAGGCAAUCAGCAGUGUAAACAAUUCAAGGUACAGCAAGGAGCCAUAAACACAGAGCCAUAAAUGGAGCUUGUGCAGAUUCCUGCUGUACUGGUCUGUGAAGGCAUGCUGCUCUCUUUCAAACCAUGGUGCCCAGGGGUGUUAGGCAGUGGUCGGGUCCUUCAUCCUCAGCCUCUUACUGUGCUUGUUUUGCCUUCCAACUCCUCCUCUUAACAGCUCCGGUCUAUUUCAGAUACUAUACUCAAAGCCUUCCUAUUGGCAAAGGGAACAUACUGCAUAUACGAACCUAUUAAUUUAUUGUUAGUCUAAGGUUUUCAACAGUCUAAUAGUGAAAAUUACCAAAUUCAUACAGGAAGAUGUCAUAAAAUAGAGCUAAAAUUGUUAGACGUUGUCCCUGUCCUCUUGUGUUGUGCUUACUCCUCCAGUGUGCCUUUGGGUCUUAAAAUUGACAUUUUAGUAUUUCUCAGAAGGAAUGGGGGAGUAUGGUGAGUCAUCACCAGGAGGAGUGUGAUAUUCAGGGGUCGGGGGGAUGUCUUUUUCCUCGGUCUGGUGUAUUCUUGGAUUUUAUUUUAUGUUUUCUUAAUGCUAGAAGCUCACUGUGAUUGAAUGACUGCGAUCUGCAUCCUCUGUGUUUUCCAACAACUUGGUAUGUGAUUACGUAGCUUACAUAUAUGUAGUGUUUCCAGCAUGUGCUAAGUUCAGGAUGUUUUAAAAGAUUUCCAAUGCAGUAGUACACAAAUUCUGAAUUUAUUUAAGAACUCUGAUUUUUCCAUCACAAAAAUGUUUAUACCUUGUCGAACCGUCUUUGCUUUUAUGUUCUUUAAAUACCUGCCCUUGUGCACCUCUGAGAAAAAUCUGGCUCUGACUUCUCUAUAGCUUCCCAUGAAGUAUUUUUAGGCAGCAAUAAAUCCCUGCCAUCCCCCUGGCCUUUUCAGGGCUGAGGAAUCGCAGCUCCCUCGGCCUCUCCUGGCACGCUGCCUGCUGCAGCCUGCGCUGCUCUAGUGCCGUAUGGCUGUGUCUGUCUCGUACUGUAGGAGAUACCAUAAUUAAAUUCGUAAUUUUCAUUUAUGGCUUCUACUUUUGUUCACAUACUUCUUGACAGUGGAAUGCUUUUAACUUGCUCUGCAGCUGUACCCUCUUCUCAAGUGUUAUGCUGUGCCAGUUCAGUUGGAUGUGCUCCUGUUCCAACUUUAAGUUUCCCUUCUGCAAAGUCCAAAUUUCUGCUUGCACUGCCUAUUCUACAUUUACCUCUCUUGCUACUAACCAGCCCAUGCUUCAGCACAUUAUGGGCUUGGCAAGAGAAGAAUUUAGACUUUGUUUUCUUUUAAUUUUAGAAAAGGUUGCUUUGCUGCCUGGAUAGUUCUGCAAGAAGCUGGAUCCCAAGGGUACGUUCAUCACUGGCUUUAGACCAGAAAAGUUGAGAAAGGAGAGCAUUUCCAAAGAAGAUUAGAAGAGCAGCAGAGCUCAUCUGAGUUUGCACAUGUCUGGCAGCAUUUGGCUCUGCAGAGUGCAGACAUCGAGGGCGCCUGAGUUCCCCCUGCAGUCAGUGAGAGCAGAAGAUAGUCAUAUUUGGCAGAAAGUAUUCUCCCUUUUGCAGGGUUUGACUCUUGAAGAACCCCACACUAUUAUGAAAACCUCUUCCUUUCAUCUCCCCAGUUCCAAUUCAGGAACUUAAAAUGAUUGCAUUAGCAUUAGAAACAUUACAAAGAAAUCAGUCUAAAAAUCAUUCUAGCAAAGGCAGUGGAGCUGCCAUUGCAGGUGUCAUGGAAUGAAGUGUGAAAGAUGGUGUUUCCAAAUUUGUUUCUGAAAUAUUUGAAAAGACUGUGCAAAGAGGGGAAGCAAGCAAACUAGCAGGCAGUGUUUUUCCCCUCUGUGGUUUUUGUGGACUAAGAAUAGAGGGAACACGUAGCAAGCAUCUUGCUAUUAAAUUUGCCCAUGACAAAUAGUGCAGCUGCACGUAGUGUGCAAGAACAUCUGUAGACUCAUGACACAUGCAAAAUCCCCCACACUAAGAAUGUGACAUUAUACUGAAAACAAUUCAGUUGUAAAAGCAAUAUAAAUCCAUUUUAUGUAGUCUUUCUCCACCUUCUCCUCCCAUUCUCUUUUGAAUUAUGUUAACUGAAGAAUUCUGUCACUCCUACAUGACAUUAGCAAAAAUCACAAUGUAAAAGUGACUAAACAUUUCAAAAUUGUCCCUUUUUUCAUUAGCAGCUAGAAUGCAGGUAUGCCUUUCCUGGAGGAAAAGAAAGUUUCAGAAAGAAUAACCAGCAGCAGAAAUGCAUUAGACACCAGGUCCUACUCCAAGUGGAUCUUGACAGGGUUUGGCAGCUGCAAUUUAACUCUUCAGAAAUCAAGGGGUGAUUUCCUGUGUCUCUUGUGCAGUUGUUCAGUUCAAAGUGAGCAGUGGGAUUGCUACCAGCUUUUACUUUGCUGAUAUAAAUGCUUGCACAAAAUGCAGCAAUAGGGAACAAUAUGUCUAAAAUGUGUAGGUUUCUAAGAUAAAGGGAAAUUCCCUACCUGGGAUUUUUUGAGUUCCCACAGCUUCUCCUACAAAUAAUGCAGUUACUGUGGAAUUCUAUAGAAGUUCACCUAAGCUCCCCAUUGCCCUAAUGAAUCAUAGAAUGGCUUAGGUUGGAAGGGAUCUUAAAGAUCAUCUGGUUCCAAACCCUUCCCUCUCUACUACUUUCUUUACAACCUUUAGACUUACUUAAGUAAAAAAUCUUAAGAUGGCAACACGAACACUAAUUUUUGUUGCAAGUCUGAGGUUGUCUAAAGACUUCGUGAUGGUAACAUCAUGAGAAGGCAAACCUAUGCAUGCUGUUAGUAUCUGGAUCAUCGUUAACUUGCUUCUUUGGAAACAUCUCAAAACAGUUCAUAAUAGCUACCUGAACCUCCAAGAACAUUUCCCCAUUCUUUAUAUAGACUGCAGAAUGAGCCUGAAGCUGGAGGAGCCCUCCAGCUGGCUCGUAAUUUUCAGCUCUCUGCCCAUUAAAUUCCUGCAAGCUAACUGCAAAACCAUAACCCUUGAGAGAGCGAUGUAAUGAUGUUAUUGAUAGCAUACAUUUUGAGCAUACUGACUUUCUGUAUUCUUUGGUCAAGUCCUUGGAACUCAGUUUCCUUUCCUAGGUGAAGAAAGCCUUGUUUUAAUAUUUCAGAGAGAUACAGAGCACAAAUGAGAAUGAUUUUAAAGCACUCUGAAGAUGGAAAAGGUAUGCAAGUACAACUGAUGUCACCUGACAACAUUUGUUUACUAUUAAGGGUAUAUUUAUCUCUUAAUUAAAUUAGAUUUGAUUCCUUAUUCAAUAAUGCAAUGAUUUUUAACAGUCGCUUCCAGGUUUGCAUGUUCAGCAACUGUUUACACAUGAUACAUGGUGAUGUACAUCACCACAGCAGGAAGGAACAUCACACCUCCUGCAAAGCAGGAGUUGGGAAAUGCCCGUUAUUUACCUGUUUUAUGUCCCCACCUUUCAUGCAGAGAAGUACACGUUCAGUGGUGAGUAGUGACUGCAGUCAGUUGUGGCCUCUCCGUGCUGGCAGUGACUGCCUGUUGUCCACACUGUGCACCUGAACGUCACUGCUGUAAUCCUUCUUUUGUCGCUGCCUGUGCAUUAGUUGGUCUCUGAGGUACAUGAUACAGCAGUUGCAAACAGCUCAAUAUAGUAAUGGGCUCUGGCUAGUAAUAAAAGUAGCAAUAAGGUUUUUAAAAAAUUAGCACUCUAUGGAGCUGUGGGAAAAUGUAGCAAAGCUAUUCUUAAAUGGUGUGCAAAGCAGAGCACUUCAAUUCCACUUUUGCAGCUUUUACUUUAAAUAAAUUGAAGGGUUUUAUGAUGAUUUUAAAAGCCUCAUUUUAUUUUUCUGAAUGUGGAAUAACUGUGACUCUUAGUGAGUAGACACGCAGUUUUCUCAUAGACAAGCUAUUUGAAAAAUACAGGUUAUAAAAUAAACACCAGUCUAGAAAACAAACAUAUUUGUUUUAGACCAGAAGGAGACAAAAUCAGCAUUAAGAUGAUUAUUAUUGUGGCUGAUUUAAUUCUUAUUUGUUUGUCUUCAUUUCUGUCUCUGCUGCUGCGAGUCUUUAGUUUCUCAGCCAGAAGACUAUCGCACAGGAAAUUACUGUCAGCAGUCAGAAAGAGUAUCAGCAGUUCAUCCUCAAGCACUGUCAACUUAAUUCUAAAGUAAUUUAGCUGCUUUGUAAGUUCACGCUGAAGCAGGGAGUUUACAAAUUGAUAAAUCAAACGAUAUUAAUAAAGAAAACAUAUACCUCUUUUUCAAACACUUUGCUUUCCUAAAACUUUGUUGUAAGCAUAGAUUUAGUAAUCGCAUGUUCAAUUACUCGAAAAAAAAAAAGAGAAACUAACUACUGCCUAUUCAGCCCUAAUAAAUGCACACUGAACAUCCAGAAUGGUAGCAUGGUAUGAUACCUUUAAAUGGUACCUGCUUUUACUGGGCCAUUUGAUUUGUUUAUCAUCCCCCACCUGUGGCUGAAGGUCUUGCAGCUGCAGACCCUGAGUCCUUAUGACCUUCUGCUCACCCCACUGGCAUGUGAUGGAGGAAGCCUCAGGCCAUGAGUAGGAAUUCAUUUGCACUGCUUCAGGUACCGCAGAAUAGGAUGAUUUCAGGCAUGGGAUUAUGCUGGAAUUGGUUGUAAUUAUAGAGUCAAUUUGUGAAUUCAAAAACUGAAUGUAAGCUGAUUUUGUGGUGUCCUGUCAAGCCUGCACAGGUAUUGGAUACUUGUCAUGGGCAUGCUAACAUCCACUGAUCUGCUGCGUGUGUCCACUGCUUACAGCCAGGUAUAACAGAUUCAGAAGACUUGCUCACUGGUAUUAUUGUGCAGGCUGACAAAUGGCCUUUGGGAGCACUGAGGCACUUGCAUUAUAGGUGUGCUGUGAGCCUAGAGUGAUCUCCUGGGUUGUGGGGAAGUUUCCCUGCGUUGAUAAUGGCAGGAAUGAGGUGGGGAUGUGUGUCCCUCUGAGCAGAGUGCUGCAUGCCGGACACGGCCUGCUGAGCACAGACAGCGCACUGUGUGGCUAGGCCUCUAUCAGGCGCUCAUCCAAUGUCCUUGAGCUGGUAUUUCCCAAUGUUUCCAAACUGACCUGCCACAUCCUGAGUAACAAUGAAGCUGGUUAAGGUUCUUUAGGUCUAAAAAAGUUCCAGUUAGAGAAUGAGUUGGAAGCUUGGAACACAUGGCCCAUGGCACAGCUUAUUGCCACAGGCAGAGCAAGGCCCCGGCAUGCAUUCAGAUUCAGAGCUGCAACCAGCACUUACUGAAUAGCAGCCACUUACCGAGUCUAGGCACACUAUGAAAAUCCUUCUUGAAUCAAAUGUCCCCAAGGGAGUCAGAAAUUAAAGAUGCUCUUCCACUCUGGGCUGGGGCAUCCACUAGAUCAAUACUCAGCAUAAAGAGCUUUCUGCUUUAUCAGUGCGGGGUGGGUCGGCGGUCGGAGGGGCACUCCUGGUAACAAGCAAACCAACAGGCAGCAUACUGAGUAACAGGAGAAAAUGAAGGUGGCAAUAAAGACCAGGAGGAAGGUACGGCAGUGAGGGGCCCUGUGAUGCCUGAAUUGGAAAGCGUUUUGCCUCUCAGCUUGAACCAUUUAAUUAAGGAAUUUCACAGUAAUUUUGACUAAGUUUAAAGAGCAAUCAUUUCAGUGCUCCGGCUCACUAAAUACUUCUUGCAGUCUAACUAAACAGCGAAGAUGGGAACUGAAGGAAUUCAGUGACACUGCAUUAACAGUUCCUGCCCUCUGCCUGUGCUGUGGGUCAGCGCUGUCCUGCAGCUGCCCACGUGGGGCUACGUGCUGGGGGGACAGGGGAUGUUCCAGGACCUGGGACCCAGAUAGAGGCCUGAGGAGCACAGGCUGCGGGAGAUGUUUUCUGUCGUUUCCUGGAGGAGCAGGGAGGGUAGGGCUGCUGGUUGCUGUAGGAGGGCCAACAGGCACGGCUGAACUAGAAGGAGGGGAAAGGCUCAGGGAUAUAAUGAGGAGGUGGGGGAAAUGACAUGGGAAUGAAAGGGUGAGCGAGUAUGUGAGAUAGCCGCUCAUCCUGGCCUUAUUCUGUUCAAAGCACUCCCUCGAAGGGUGGGUACAAGACUUGAACAGAGGGGAUGGAUGUCAAAAUGUUUCCAUAAAGAAUAUAGUGUAAUAAAUCAGAGAAAAGAGCAGAAAGGAGGCAAGGAGCAAACGGUAGGAGAAUUAUUUUUAUUCUGAGUGAAUGAUUAUGUCUCCUGGGUGAUUACACAUCAGGGAGGUGGUGUGUUGGGGACUAUUGAGCUAGAGAGAAAAGAGUGCUCAAAUUGCAGUCAUUGAACUAUAGUGCAUGCAAGGGUGUAAAUAAGAAAGGAUCAAAUGGAGAACAUCCAGCUGGAUUCAGCACAUCUGGGGCACUGCAAUCCUCGGGAGUUAAGCCAACUAUCAUACAGGUGAAAGAGAGCUUUCAUGGGAAGAUACUUUGAAUUCCUGCAGGUCAGCGAGAUAGCCCACAAGGUAAGCAGCAAAGCCUGUCAAAAAUGAUUGCGAACAUGUUAACUUGCAAGUUCUGGGUCAAAUAUAGGACUGACAAUUUCUUCUGAGUUAUCUACCAAAACAGGGCAAGAAAUAUCUGCUGUAGUACAUGCACCUCUAUAAAUCAUAGCAGUGUACGGCUGGGAAAAGACAAGGGAUAAAACACCACCGCCCUGUAUCCAUUUUUUUUUACUGGAUGAGCUUCAAGUAAGUUGUAGUAGAGCUGUUAUGUUUCUGGAGCAUUAAGAAAACAUGUUGUGCAACACCCAGAACUCAGAAAAAAUAGUUGUCCUGUUUCCUCAGUAGCUCAACAGAUGUUUUGACUCUCAUUAGCGCUUUUGGCUGCCAACUAGACCUCUUCCCCUUUGACUCAAAGAGUAGCUGACUUUCAAAUCUGAACCUUGAUGCCCUGGAGCUGAGGCGUGGUCAAUAUAUGCCAGCAAUGGCAAUAUGUAAAGCCAGUGACUUUUUUGUGGUCUUAGUACUGCUAGGAACUGCCUUCAGUGGUCUGUUUAGCAAGCGUUGUGUCAUCUGUCAUACGGGGAAAGGUUCCAGAGCUUCUGAUACUGGAUUGGGACCUGAAGUAAUAAAAGGUGGAUUUUAAAUUCCUAGCGAUAUGUCUUAGUAUUCAAACACUUAUUUUUCUAAUAAUGAGCAGCGUCAGUGGAAAAACACUGUUUUUCUCACUUCGCUCAAAAAUCAGGUAAAAAACCAUGAGGAUUCCUGCAUGAAAUCCGAAAGGUCUGGGUUAUUUUAUGUACUGGCUUAGCCUGCAGAGAGACGCAGAGUAUGGAGGCAGUAAGUCCCACCACAUGCCAAUUCCCCACCUCCCCAGGCUGGCUUUCUGGUUGAAGUUAAUGAUUCAUAAGAUUCUACACUGAUUUCACUGCGAGCCUUACAUUUGCAUAAGUAAAAGCUUAUGCAGCUUCUGUGGGGAGAUUCUUAGUGGAAUUGCAGUGCAAAACAUUGAUAUUAUGUAAUUAUAGUAGUUCAUAGCAACUUAAGCGAAAUUGUUACUUUAAACUUGCUCUAAGUGGGUAGCAAUGGAACUUUUGUACAACACACCUACAAAACAAAUGAGUUAAUCACAAUAUGUGUCAUUUUUAAUUUUUCUCUUUCUUUUUUCUUUCAGUCAUUCUCUCUUUGUAAUUAGCAUGAGGACUAUCCUGCAGUCAAAGCUAGCCACCUGGAAAGUUUCAUCUUGUAAUGUGCAGCUUUUUUUGUGAAUUAUGAAUGUGCAAAAAAGAGACCUUUCUCCCUGCACCCCCUCCCUUGCACAAUUCAAAUAUGAAUGAAUAAAUUUUAUUCAGUCUCUCCAAAAAGAACAGGGAAAAAAAAAAACCAAAACCAAAAAACCCACAACAUAUUUCAGCUGAUAACAAGCAUGAGAAAUUUCAGAUGAAAAGGAAUUUUUUUUUUAAGAAUAUUAUGAGCAUGGGAGAACAGCAGGUUAAGACGGAAGGCUCAGCGCAGCCUUAGCUGUAACAAUUGCCAGCAAGCAAAUACUAUAUCCAAGCACUAAAUCUUGCUUUGUGCUGCCCUGGUGCACAGUAGUGGGAAGAGAAUAGAAUAAUAAAAGCUGGUCCCCUUAUGCAAACAGCAGGGCAUAGCUCUCAACAGAAUACAAGGAGAAGGUGAGCCUGCCUACUGUUCUGGCUCGCUAACCAUAUUCCUGAGGUCUGUGGGUUAGUUGUCACCUCUAGCUCCAGUCAGCUAGUAAAUGUACUUCAAACAAUAGCAAGGGGCACAUUUUGGGUCUUUCCCGAAGAACACUGUACCAAUUCAUUGCCUCCAAAUAUACUGUUCUAUUAAAUAAAGUAUUUGAAGGAAGUUCAUAUAAGCAACGUGGUGGUUUAACAGGUCAAAAAGGGAGUGGAACAGCUGCGAGAAGCUUUCUGAUUAACUGUGUGUUUGAAAAAAUACAGGGCUGUGAGGAAGGUAUCACACGCAAACCCUCCCUUAUCACCUUGCUUUCUGAGUGAAGCACCCACAGACUGCAGCUCAUGCCAAAAAAAGUGCAUUCUCAAAAGAAUUAAAAAUUGCAAUCAAACCCAUUCCUGCAUUGUGUUUUCUCUUGCUCCUAAUACUGCUUUGUUGAUAAGCCCGUCUCAUAUAUUCUACCCAGAAAAUAAGACUGAAGACACAUUCACAUAGUGUUAAUAAAAAUCUAUUGACUGCUAUGGCUAAAGACUAAUGAACACUUCAGCAUUACCUUAUGGAUCCACAUCUAUUAUAAUAUCAACUGAAGGGAUUUGCAUGUGGCAAGCAGGACACACACAAAAAAAUUCUUCUAUUCUGCCAGGAGUUGCCUGUUGCAAGUUGAAUUUGGCAGCCAGGGACCAAAAUUGAGUUGUCAGCAUCCUCUUGCAUAGUGGAAAAAGUUGUUGCUUUCUUGUGCAGAUGUGAGAGUUUCUGUGGGGAAACAGAACAUAAUCAUGGUUCUGAAUAUCUCUGUGGAUUGGUAAUGUCUCUAAUACAUAGAUCACUUGUGCAAAUUCAGUCCCAGCUGGAUGGGGAAUUAUUGAAAGUGGUUGUUGUUUGAUUGAUAUAAAAUGAGUUGUCAGCUUGAUUCAGUGCCUCCAGGGCAGAUGUCCACCGUGUAAUUGGCACCUGUCAGAAGCAAAGAAUUCCAUGGUACAGAGUAACAACUACUCCUGCGACACCCCAAAACAGUGCUUAUGUGCCAGGGCUCAGCAGGAAGGCAGGCAAACAUAGUUUCUACUUUGGGGCAGGAUGUUUUAUGCCAUACAGGCAGUGAGAGAUUUGGCAUGACGCUCGGUGCAAGGUUUUCCUGGGCUCUGGCUAGAGACUAUCAUCAGCUCCCCUGCUGUUUGGACAACACUUUCCUUAAGAAUUAGACGAAAGCACAUACAUUUGGAUAUUCGUUAACGUUGACUUGGUACGAGUAUAUUCAUAAAGAAAUUUUGCAUAUUUACUUACUAUAAGGAAUGUUGCGAACAGUCAUAUUUGCUUACAUCUUGAGCAAUUCUCCUCGUGAGAAUGACAGCCCCAGAAAUAGGAAAAUAAGAGCAUGUCUUCUCAGAAAAAUAAUAUAGCAAAGAAACCACCGCUACUGGCAGUAUUAAUGUGUUUGCUAAUGGUAAACAGCAACCUGUUGCUUACCACAGACUGGAACAAAACAGAUUUUCCCCCUGAGUUCACUUUCCUAUCGCCAGACUGCUGAGCUGGCCACCUCCAUGGGGCUGCUGCUCUGGGAGGCGCCAGCUGAAGGGCUGUCCAUUAAAAUUCAUUUUACCAUCUUCAUCUAGUGAGUGGCUCAACUUUCCUUCUCUCCUUUCAUCUCUGUUUCCUCCUUUAGAUUAUUUUUCAUUAUGCCUCCCCCCAAUGUACACACGCUUUCCCUUUCAUCUCUAUAUGUAUGCUAUUCCAGCACUUGUCAGCCACAGCAGGAGGGACAUGGUAGAACCAAACAAUAUGAUCUGUUAGGUGGAAGAAAAUAUUAUUAUCAGCCACCUUAGAACAAUCAUUUAUCGUCGCACUUUAAAGAGGUCUGCUAUGUUAUUUAUUUUAUUAUUCUGUAUUAGGUACAUGAUUUAAUUUUACAGGCAUUAUUAAUCACUAGAAUACAUUACACUUUCAGCCAGGAUGUUAACAUUUUAAAUGCAUUCAUCUUGCUUCUUAAAACAGAAACAAUGGGCCUUCUGCAGUGCCCUCCCUCCCCUUCAGUCAAUAAAUCCUUUCUAUUGAUUCAGGAAAUAACUCUAAGCACUGUUUUAUAUUUUAAGUUCUACUAGCCUCGCUCAGCCAUAUAAUUUUGCUUAAUAACAAAUGGAUCUUCUAUUUUUGCUGGUUACGACAUGUUUGGUUAUCAAACUCAGCUUGGAAGAACCCGGUAGCAGAGCACAGCUACCAUGGCGGAGAGGCACCACGAGAGAGUUCCUAAAUGAAUCUUACAAUAAAAUACAGUAUCUUUAAAAAGUAUGUGUGCAUGUGUACAAAAAGCAGCCUCAUCAGGAGAUAAAUGAUAAAUGAAAAAUCCAUCAAUGCUACAGAUUCCCUCGAGCCAGCUUGGAUCAACAGACAAAAUGGAUUUUUGAUAAAUCAUGGCUUUGCCAUUGUUUAUUCUCUCCUGGAAUACCCAUUGCAAAUCUCAGAGCGAUAAUUAGAGAAUUAUCAUAUUGCUUAACUAAGUAGUGCAAAUUGUGUUAUAUUCUGUGUAUCCCAACCCAGGGCAGUAUCAUUAGCAUUGUUUAAUUGUUGCAAAUACAGCCAUUCUGUCUAAUAAAUUGUCUUCAUUGUCAA